UUCAGACCUAUGAGGUCACACACAUUAGAGUUCAUGAUUUGAUCGGAUUGUUGAUCAAUGAUUAAGAAUCAUUUUAGAGUUAAAUGAUCAAUCAAUACGAUUGACAUUUAACCUAGUGUAAGUGUUGCAAGAGGAUCGAUUAGCAAUUCGACUGCUAAUUGGCUUAAUUUGAUUAAGCCAAUGGACUGAGAUUAAGUUUAAUUAAAUAUGAUUUAAUUAGAUUUAGU
rnacentral:lncRNA from 1 species